AAGAGAUUAACCCGGCAAUUUUACUUAGCGUAUUUUCGUGCGACCCAGGGUGCAUCAUGGCUUUCAUGCCCUGACGCGGCUCAACGGCUGAAAAUGCUCGAAGAAUUAAUGCAGUGGGAAGUGACAUCCCCGGUCUCAUACCCUGACUUACCCUGAAUCGCAGCCAUCAUGUGUGACUGAGUAUUGGUGCGAAUCACCACGCCAGCAGGUAUCAUCUGCUGGCUUUUUU
rnacentral:sRNA from 1 species